AUGGAUGAGAAAAAAGGAUCAAUCAAUACAGACUAGGUGCUUAUCACAGUGUCUGUUGAAGAUUGAUUGUAAUGGUUAAAAAUUCUUGAAGGAGAAAUAUAGAUGAUAUCUCAUGGAUACAAACUAAUAAUCAUCUGUGAGGAUCAGGUCAUGCAUGGGGACGAUCAUACUCAUCUGUCUUACUCUAAGAGUUAGAAUGAGUGGUGAUUGGGCUACUAAUGUUUAGUAUAUCUCUCGUCUUCCUGUUGUGAAAAGUGUUUGCUAGGUGUAUACUUUUGAAUGAGUAUCUUUCUUGAUUGUAUUUUUUCUAUAACAUUCAAUGAGUAGGAAACCUUCAUCAUUUGUACAUAAAGUUAGCAUUUUGUAUACAAGCUGAUCAAUUUGAUGUG